UUGUUAAACGAACCCUAACAUUAAUUUAGUAUACCAUACUACUAAAUUAUUUAUUAAAUUACAAAUUUAUCUUAAUAUAAAAUGACAAGAAAAGAUAUAUUGAAUUAUGACAACCAUCAGGCCCAAAAUUAAAAUUCAAAUAAAAAAUAAGAAAAAUAUUUUAUACAUAAAAAUAAAUAAAAACUCCAUCAGCCCCAUCCUGAUCACC
rnacentral:lncRNA from 1 species